AGGAAAAGAAACCAACAGGGAUUGCCCUAGUAACGGCGAGUGAAGCGGCAACAGCUCAAAUUUGAAAUCUGGCGCAAGCCCGAGUUGUAAUUUGUAGAGGAUGCUUCUAGGUAGCGACCGGUCUAAGUUCCUUGGAACAGGACGUCAUAGAGGGUGAGAAUCCCGUAUGCGACCGGCCCGCACCUUCUACGUAGCUCCUUCGACGAGUCGAGUUGUUUGGGAAUGCAGCUCUAAAUGGGAGGUAAAUUUCUUCUAAAGCUAAAUACCGGCCAGAGACCGAUAGCGCACAAGUAGAGUGAUCGAAAGAUGAAAAGCACUUUGGAAAGAGAGUUAAAAAGCACGUGAAAUUGUUGAAAGGGAAGCGCUUACAACCAGACUUCUGGGCGGUGUUCCGCCGGUCUUUUGACCGGUCUACUCGCCGUCCCGAGGCCAACAUCAUCUGGGACCGCUGGAUAAGACCUUAGGAAUGUAGCUUCCCUCGGGAAGUGUUAUAGCCUGUGGUGAUGCAGCGCGUCUCGGGUGAGGUCCGCGCUUCGGCAAGGAUGUUGGCGUAAUGGUUGUCAGCGGCCCGUCUUGAAACACGGACCAAGGAGUCUAACAUCUAUGCGAGUGUUCGGGUGUCAAACCCCUACGCGUAAUGAAAGUGAACGGAGGUGGGAAGGGUGACCUGCACCAUCGACCGAUCCUGAUGUCCUCGGAUGGAUUUGAGUAAGAGCAUAGCUGUUGGGACCCGAAAGAUGGUGAACUAUGCCUGAAUAGGGUGAAGCCAGAGGAAACUCUGGUGGAGGCUCGCAGCGGUUCUGACGUGCAAAUCGAUCGUCAAAUUUGGGUAUAGGGGCGA
rnacentral:rRNA from 1 species